UACAGAGGUCCCAAGCGUUGUUCGGAUUCAUUGGGCGUAAAGGGUGCGUAGGCGGCGCGGUAAGUCGGGUGUGAAAUCCCCGGGGCUCAACCCCGGGCCUGCAUCCGAUACUCCCGGGCUGGAGGCAGGUAGGGGAGAUCGGAAUUCCUGGUGUAGCGGUGAAAUGCGCAGAUAUCAGGAGGAACACCGGUGGCGAAGGCGGAUCUCUGGGCCUUGCCUGACGCUGAGGCGCGAAAGCUAGGGGAGCGAACAGG
rnacentral:rRNA from 1 species